CUGAGACCUGAUGCCGAGCCGAUUGUGGUGAAGUGGAUGAUCCUAUGCUGUCGAGAAAAGCCUCUAGCGAGUUUCAUGGCGGCCCGUACCCUAAACCGACUCAGGUGGUCAGGUAGAGAAUACCGAGGCGUUCGGGUGAACUAUGGUUAAGGAACUCGGCAAAAUGCCCCCGUAACUUCGGGAGAAGGGGGGCCACACCUGGUGAGGGGAUUUACUUCCUGAGCUGGGGGUGGCCGCAGAGACCAGCGAGAAGCGACUGUUUACUAAAAACACAGGUCCGUGCGAAGCCGUAAGGCGAUGUAUACGGACUGACGCCUGCCCGGUGCUGGAACGUUAAGGGGACCGGUUAGCUCCAUUUCGGUGGGGCGAAGCUGAGAACUUAAGCGCCAGUAAACGGCGGUGGUAACUAUAACCAUCCUAAGGUAGCGAAAUUCCUUGUCGGGUAAGUUCCGACCUGCACGAAUGGCGUAACGACUUCUCGACUGUCUCAACCAUAGGCCCGGUGAAAUUGCACUACGAGUAAAGAUGCUCGUUUCGCGCAGCAGGACGGAAAGACCCCGGGACCUUUACUACAGUUUGAUAUUGGUGUUCGGUUCGGCUUGUGUAGGAUAGCUGGGAGACUUUGAGCAUCGGACGCCAGUUCGGUGGGAGUCGUCGUUGAAAUACCAGUCUGGUCGUGCUGGAUGUCUAACCUGGGUCCGUGAUCCGGAUCAGGGACAGUGUCUGAUGGGUAGUUUAACUGGGGCGGUUGCCUCCUAAAGAGUAACGGAGGCGCCCAAAGGUUCCCUCAGCCUGGUUGGCAAUCAGGUGUUGAGUGUAAGUGCACAAGGGAGCUUGACUGUGAGACCGACGGGUCGAGCAGGGACGAAAGUCGGGACUAGUGAUCCGGCGGUGGCUUGUGGAAGCGCCGUCGCUCAACGGAUAAAAGGUACCCCGGGGAUAACAGGCUGAUCUUCCCCAAGAGUCCAUAUCGACGGGAUGGUUUGGCACCUCGAUGUCGGCUCGUCGCAUCCUGGGGCUGGAGUCGGUCCCAAGGGUUGGGCUGUUCGCCCAUUAAAGCGGUACGCGAGCUGGGUUUAGAACGUCGUGAGACAGUUCGGUCCCUAUCCGCUGUGCGCGUAGGAGUCUUGAGAAGGGCUGUCCCUAGUACGAGAGGACCGGGACGGACGAACCUCUGGUGUGCCAGUUGUUCUGCCAAGGGCAUGGCUGGUUGGCUACGUUCGGGAGGGAUAACCGCUGAAAGCAUCUAAGCGGGAAGCCUGCUUCGAGAUGAGGACUCCCACCUCUAUAAGAGGGUAAGGCUCCCAGUAGACGACUGGGUUGAUAGGCCGGAUCUGGAAGCCAGGUAACUGGUGGAGGUGACCGGUACUAAUAGGCCGAGGGCUUGUCCUC
rnacentral:rRNA from 1 species